UAAUACAGAGGGUGCAAGCGUUAAUCGGAAUUACUGGGCGUAAAGCGCACGUAGGUGGUUUGGUAAGUCGGAUGUGAAAGCCCCGGGCUCAACCUGGGAAUUGCAUUCGAUACUGCCUGGCUAGAGUAUGGUAGAGGGGGGUAGAAUUCCCGGUGUAGCGGUGAAAUGCGUAGAUAUCGGGAGGAAUACCAGUGGCGAAGGCGGCCCCCUGGACCAAUACUGACACUGAGGUGCGAAAGCGUGGGUAGCAAACAGGAUUAGAUACCCUGGUAGUCCACGCCGUAAACGAUGUCAACUAGACGUUGGGGAGAUUAAACUCCUUAGUGUCGCAGCUAACGCGAUAAGUUGACCGCCUGGGGAGUACGGCCGCAAGGUUA
rnacentral:rRNA from 1 species